GAGUUUGAUCCUGGCUCAGGAUGAACGCUGGCGACAUGCUUAACACAUGCAAGUCGAACGAGACUAUGUGAACAACUUGUUGUUUACAUAUUUUAGUGGCGGACGGGUGAGUAACGCGUAAGAAUCUGCCUCGGGGCGAGGGAUACCAACUGGAAACGGUUGCUAAUACCUCAUAAGCUGAGAAGUAAAAGGUGUACUGCACCACCAAGAGAGGAGCUUGCGUCUGAUUAGUUAGUUGGUAAGGUAAUGGCUUACCAAGGCUAUGAUCAGUAGCUGGUCUGAGAGGACAAUCAGCCACACUGGGACUGAGACACGGCCCAGACUCCUACGGGAGGCAGCAGUGAGGAAUUUUCCGCAAUGGGCGCAAGCCUGACGGAGCAAUGUCGCGUGAAGGAAGACGGCCCGUGGGUUGUAAACUUCUUUUCUUAGAGAAGAAAACUGACGGUAUCUAGGGAAUAAGCAUCGGCUAACUCCGUGCCAGCAGCCGCGGUAAUACGGAGGAUGCAAGCGUUAUCCGGAAUGAUUGGGCGUAAAGGGUCUUGAGGUGGCUGGCUUAGUCUACUGUGAAAGAUCAGGGCUCAACCCUGAACAGGCGG
rnacentral:rRNA from 1 species